CUUCACAGAAUUGGAAAAAACUACUUUAAAGUUCAUAUGGAACCAAAAAAGAGCCCGCAUCGCCAAGUCAAUCCUAAGCCAAAAGAACAAAGCUGGUGAUAUCACACUACCUGACUUCAAACUACACUACAAGGCUACAGUAACCAAAACAGCAUGGUACUGGUAGCAAAACAGAGAUAUUGAUCAAUGGAACAGAACAGAGCCCUCAGAAAUAACGCCGCAUAUCUACAACUAUCUGAUCUUUGACAAACCUGAGAAAAACAAGCAAUGGGGAAAGGAUUCCCUAUUUAAUAAAUGGUGCUGGGAAAACUGGCUAGCCAUAUGUAGAAAGCUGAAACUGGAUCCCUUCCUUACACCUUAUACAAAAAUCAAUUCAAGAUGGAUUAAAGACUUAAACGUUAGACCUAAAACCAUAAAAACCCUGGAAGAAAACCUAGGCAUUACCAUUCAGGACAUAGGCAUGGGCAAGGACUUCAUGUCUAAAACACCAAAAGCAAUGGCAAGAAAAGACAAAAUUGACAAAUGGGAUCUAAUUAAACUAAAGAGCUUCUGCACAGCAAAAGAAACUACCAUCAGAGUGAACAGGCAACCUACAAAAUGGGAGAAAAUUUUCGCAACCUACUCAUCUGACAAAGGGCUAAUAUCCAGCAUCUACAAUGAACUCCAACAAAUUUACAAAAAAAAACAACAAACAACCCCAUCAAAAAGUGGGUGAAGUACAUGAACAGACACUUCUCAAAAGAAGACAUUUAUGCAGCCAAAAAACACAUGAAAAAAUGCUCAUCAUCACUGGCCAUCAGAGAAAUGCAAAUCAAAACCAUAAUGAGAUACCAUCUCACACCAGUUAGAAUGGCAAUCAUUAAAAAGUCAGGAAACAAUGGGUGCUGGAGAGGAUGUGGAGAAAUAGGAACACUUUUACACUGUUGGUGGGACUGUAAACUAGUUCAACCAUUCUGGAAGUCAGUGUGGCGAUUCCUCAGGGAUCUAGAACUGGAAAUACCAUUUGACCCAGCCAUCCCAUUACUGGGUAUAUACCCAAAGGACUAUAAAUCAUGCUGCUAUAAAGACACAUGCACACGUAUGUUUAUUGCGGCACUAUUCACAAUAGCAAAGACUUGGAACCAACCCAAAUAUCCAUCAGUGAUAGACUGGAUUAAGAAAAUGUGGCACAUAUACACCAUGGAAUAGUAUGCAGCCAUAAAAAAUGAUGAGUUCAUGUCCUUUGUAGGGACAUGGAUGAAAUUGGAAAUCAUCAUUCUCAGUAAACUAUCACAAGAACAAAAAACCAAACGCCGCAUAUUCUCACUCAUAGGUGGGAAUUGAACAAUGAGAUCACAUGGACACAGGAAGGGGAAUAUCACACUCUGGGGACUGUUGUGGGGUGGGGGGAGGGGGGAGGGAUAGCACUGGGAGAUAUACCUAAUGCUAGAUGACGAGUUAGUGGGUGCAGCGCACCAGCAUGGCACAUGUAUACAUAUGUAACUAACCUGCACAAUGUGCACAUGUACCCUAAAACUUAAAGUAUAACAAAAAAAAGAAAAUUAUCAUGUUUUAUCAAAUAUAUUUUUGUUUGUACCAUUAGCUGUAAGUCAUUUAGAGCCACAGAAAAUAAAAUGUAUGCGUGUCACAUACUGAUUAUCAGCAAGGCCUCUUCAUUAAGAUGAAAAAUGAUUUUCAAAAAUUCUAACUCCCAAAUCUUUUGUUCCUCCCAGUAAAUAAACGCAGUCAUCUUUCAGUAAUAUUUUUCAUUUUGCAUGUUCACCACAAGGACAGUAAUUUGUACAAGGUAAUUUUUUCAGUCUUUCUUAUUACCUAUUUCUUGGACCCAUUUGACUUCCCAAGUAUAAGGCAAAGACCACUGAAUCACCAUCAUAGCCUGCUUUUCUGGCUUAAAGAUUUAUUUUAAAAUCCCCUUUGUAUUUAUACAUGAUGUGCUUGACAGAUAUGUUGUGAUGAUUGUUAUACAUGCAGUAGUGUGCUUUAAAAAAAUUACUCACUUUGCUUAUGUGCCAGUUUAUUGUUCUUUGUGCAAAGUAACAAGCCAUUCUGCUGUGGAUGAAAGAUCUUGAUUUGAAUGUUCACAAUGUACAACUCCUUCAUGGCUGAAAGCUUCCAGUGAUUUCAAUCUUUCUGUCACCCACACAAAUCCCACAUCUACAUAUAGAGUCUUAUUACAACAGAUAAGGAUUUAUUUUUCAAUUAUUCGUUGUAAGAGUUUACUGAUUAAAUGUCUCUAUUACUAACCAUGUUCCAUCCCUUUGUAAACUCCAUUUCUCCCCACAACCACCAUUUACGCAACUGUCAUCAGAAAAAUAAUGUUACUUGGCAACAAAACAUCAUUUCAAAUUUUAGUAUGAACUGAGGCUUUGUGCUAGCAAUUUAUGCCAAACAAUACGCAAAAUUAAGGUUCUUUGGUUCGACAACUAUUUUGAACUAAUACUUCGAUUUUUUUACAAAUUGCUGAAGUUUGAAGACAUUAUGUAUGACAUUUCUCAAUGGUUAUACAUGUGCAUAAAUGCUUCAUGAAACAUUUUAAUGGUUAAUUCUUGAAGUAUUCUUAUUGUGAAUGAACUAGCCAGAUUCUCCCAGUAGAAAGUCUACUCCCUGAGAGUAAGCUAUUUAUAUUGACAUUUUGGAACUACUACAAUUCCAUUUAAUAAAAUAUUAACACGGAAGUUUAAUGGCAGGGGAAAAUCUGACUCAGUGCCUUUCUUAGCCUAAGAAACAGAUGAGAUCGUGAAAAAUCCUUAUUGUCAAUGGGAAACACUCUGAUACAUUUGCAGUUACAGUAUUUCUCUUAAUCCAGUAUCUCACUAUGUGUUACCACCCUUGCAGUAUGCAUAUUAACCUGCACUAAUUGAAGUUGUUUUUGUUCCUAUCUUGAGACUUUGGAAAUAAAAAAUAUAUAUAAUUUUUAAGGGCAUGUAUCAUUUCUGUAGUAGAGACUGAAAUAAAAAUUUAUCAUUGUUGAUGAUGUGUUUACUAAGCAAUUUUUGUCAUUAUUCUCAA
rnacentral:lncRNA from 1 species